CCUACGGGGGGCUGCAGUGAGGAAUAUUGGUCAAUGGGCUUACGCCUGAACCAGCCAAGUCGCGUGAGGGAAGACUGCCCUAUGGGUUGUAAACCUCUUUUGUCAGGGAGCAACGCCGGCUACGUGUAGCCGGACUGAGAGUACCUGCAGAAAAAGCAUCGGCUAACUCCGUGCCAGCAGCCGCAGUAAUACGGAGGAUGCGAGCGUUAUCCGGAUUUAUUGGGUUGAAAGGGUGCGUAGGCGGAAUGCCAAGUCAGCGGUAAAAUCGCGGGGCUCAACCUCGCUCCGCCGUUGAAACUGGCGUUCUGGAGUGGGCGAGAAGUAGGCGGAAUGCGUGGUGUAGCGGUGAAAUGCAUAGAUAUCACGCAGAACUCCGAUUGCGAAGGCAGCAUACCGGCGCCCAACUGACGCUGAAGCACGAAAGCGUGGGUAUCGAACAGGAUUAGAUACCCCUGUAGUC
rnacentral:rRNA from 1 species